rnacentral:rRNA from 1 species
AUUGAACGCUGGCGGCAUGCCUUACACAUGCAAGUCGAACGGCAGCACGGGAGCAAUCCUGGUGGCGAGUGGCGAACGGGUGAGUAAAGUAUCGGAACGUGCCCAGUCGUGGGGGAUAACGUAGCGAAAGUUACGCUAAUACCGCAUACGAUCUAUGGAUGAAAGCGGGGGAUCGCAUGACCUCGCGCGAUUGGAGCGGCCGAUAUCAGAUUAGGUAGUUGGUGGGGUAAAGGCUCACCAAGCCGACGAUCUGUAGCUGGUCUGAGAGGACGACCAGCCACACUGGGACUGAGACACGGCCAAGACUCCGACGGGAGGCAGCAGUGGGGAAUUUUGGACAAUGGGCGAAAGCCUGAUCCAGCCAUGCCGCGUGCAGGAUGAAGGCCUUCGGGUUGUAAACUGCUUUUGUACGGAACGAAAAGGUUUGGCCUAAUAAGCUGAGCUCAUGACGGUACCGUAAGAAUAAGCACCGGCUAACUACGUGCCAGCCGCCGCCGUAA